GGAGCGGUGGCCGAGCGGCUGAAGGCGCCGGUUUGCUAAACCGGUGAACGGGGAAACCCGUUCCGAGGGUUCGAAUCCCUCCUGCUCCG
rnacentral:tRNA from 1 species